rnacentral:lncRNA from 1 species
AUGGACAAAGAGGGGAUAAAGAAGAGGAACUGGAGUAGGUCUAACUUUUGCAUCGGAUUCUUUAGGGAAAACACCUACCAAGGCUUCCUAUUACCUAUUUCACAGAAUGUUUCAUCAUUACUAACAGGAUACUCCUCAUGCUAUUGCUGUCUGCAUUUAGAAGAAUAAGAAACAUGACCUCCCGAACCUAUUAUCACAGAUUUUGGCAAAUAUUUUAGAAUGACUCUGCUAAACAAGAUGGAAGUACUCAAAGGACUUGUUUGGAAGACCCUCCAGAGAGAUACAUUUCCAAAGGAGACUCCUGAGUGGACAGAAGGGGUGAUAGGGUGAAGUUGAGCACUGAUGUUUCCUGUGUGGAACACUGUAUGUGUUGGUGAUUCUUUGAACUACCCAUUAGUAUUCUGUGGUAUUCUGUACAUUUGAAAUGCAUUGGCUUCAUUUG